rnacentral:misc_RNA from 1 species
GAUGAAGAACGUAGCGAAAUGCGAUACGUAAUGUGAAUUGCAGAAUUCAGUGAAUCAUCGAGUCUUUGAACGCACAUUGCGCCCCUUGGUUAUUCCGAAGGGCAUGCCUGUUCGAGCGUCAUUAUCACCCCUCAAGCCCUGGCUUGGUGUUGGACUUUAGUUAUAGCUUUGCCUAUCAACUGGUCUCAAAGAUAGUGACGGCGCCCCAGAGGGAACCGGGUACGAGGAGCUUUUUACUAAGCAUGUAUCUGGGACGACUCUGGGCGACGGUCUUGUUAUACUUUUUACCUACGUGUUGACCUCGGAUCAGGUAGGAAUACCCGCUGAACUUAAGCAUAUCAAUAAGCGGAGGA